CCUACGGGUGGCUGCAGUGGGGAAUAUUGGACAAUGGGGGGAACCCUGAUCCAGCCAUGCCGCGUGUGUGAAGAAGGCCCUCGGGUUGUAAAGCACUUUCAGUGAGGAAGAACGCCUGGUGGUUAAUACCCAUCAGGAAAGACAUCACUCACAGAAGAAGCACCGGCUAACUCCGUGCCAGCAGCCGCGGUAAUACGGAGGGUGCGAGCGUUAAUCGGAAUUACUGGGCGUAAAGCGCGCGUAGGUGGCUUGAUAAGCCGGUUGUGAAAGCCCCGGGCUCAACCUGGGAACGGCAUCCGGAACUGUCAAGCUUGAGUGCAGGAGAGGAAGGUAGAAUUCCCGGUGUAGCGGUGAAAUGCGUAGAGAUCGGGAGGAAUACCAGUGGCGAAGGCGGCCUUCUGGACUGACACUGACACUGAGGUGCGAAAGCGUGGGUAGCAAACAGGAUUAGAUACCCCUGUAGUC
rnacentral:rRNA from 1 species